rnacentral:rRNA from 1 species
UGCAAGUCGAACGGACUUAACCAUUAGUUUACUAUUGGAGCGGUUAGUGGCGGACUGGUGAGUAACACGUAAGCAACCUGCCUAUCAGAGGGGAACAACAGUUAGAAAUGACUACUAAUACCGCAUAUGCCUAAGUACCACAUGGUACAAUAGGGAAAGGAGUAAUCCGCUGAUAGAUGGGCUUGCGUCUGAUUAGAUAGUUGGUGGGGUAAUGGCCUACCAAGUCGACGAUCAGUAGCCGGACUGAGAGGUUGAACGGCCACAUUGGGACUGAGAUACGGCCCAGACUCCUACGGGAGGCAGCAGUCGGGAAUAUUGCGCAAUGGAGGAAACUCUGACGCAGUGACGCCGCGUGCAGGAAGAAGGUUUUCGGAUUGUAAACUGCUUUAGACAGGGAAGAAAUAAGACAGUACCUGUAGAAUAAGCUCCGGCUAACUACGUGCCAGCAGCCGCGGUAAUACGUAGGGAGCGAGCGUUAUCCGGAUUUAUUGGGUGUAAAGGGUGCG